GUGCCAGCAGCCGCGGUAAUACGGAGGGGGCUAGCGUUGUUCGGAAUUACUGGGCGUAAAGCGCACGUAGGCGGCUUUGUAAGUUAGAGGUGAAAGCCCGGGGCUCAACCCCGGAAUAGCCUUUAAGACUGCAUCGCUUGAACACGGGAGAGGUGAGUGGAAUUCCGAGUGUAGAGGUGAAAUUCGUAGAUAUUCGGAAGAACACCAGUGGCGAAGGCGGCUCACUGGACCGUUGUUGACGCUGAGGUGCGAAAGCGUGGGGAGCAAACAGGAUUAGAUACCCCAGUAGUCC
rnacentral:rRNA from 1 species